CGGCUACGUUCAUAAUAAUAAUAAUAAUAAUAAUAAUAAUAAUAAUAAUGAAUAGCAUGAUAAUGCGUAUAUAAUUUUUUUUUUUUUUUUUUUUUUAUUCUUCUAUCUAAGUAAUAUAUAAUAUCGUAUUGUAUUUUAUCGGCAACGUGUUAUUACACGAGUGCCGUGUAUCAUUUUAACACACCCGUCGAUUACCUAUAUCGUUUAAUACAAUAUUGUAUAGUUUUAUAAAUUCUCAAUAAUAAUUGUAAUGUAUAUAAAUAUAUAUAUAGACGUUAUAAUUAUAAUAAAAUAUCGUUCUCUUACAGAUAAAUUACACGACCACAUAUGGUUAUAAUUUGCUAACGGUACUAAUUUAUUAAUAGUAAUAUAUAUAUAUAUAUGUAUGCAUAUGAAUAUAGUAAAUAUAUAAAGUUUCGUAUGAUAAUUCCUUAGUUUGCGCAGUUUGGUGUCUUUAUAAUAAAUAAUCGUGUGGAUGCGACACGGCCAGUACGGUUUGAAACGAGAAAACAAUUAUGAUUUUAGUCUACUACAUAAUGUAACACAAUAUCAAACUAAGUGAAAAAAAAUAUACGAUUUUCUUCAAAAAUAUUACUGCAGUGUAAACAUGUUUACCGAUUGCGGAGUAAUAAAAAAAAAAAAUCGAAUCAUAAACUAAAAAACUACUCGUAUUAUAAAAAAAUAAAUAAACAACAGGUAUACACACGAUGUGAAAGUCUUUAAAUUUCGAAUAAAAUACAUUAUGUUGUGGGAUAUAGGCACGUAUAAAUUAUAAUAUAAUGUAGACACGUUACACGGUUAACUAUACAACAAUAUAUAAUACGAAUAUUUAGUUACAUUAAUUUUAAAAUAAGUAAUUAUACCUAUGCACGUUCAAUGACAUUAUUUUUAAAAUGCAACGAAUUACACUAAUAAAUUAUUGUAACAAAUACAAGUAUUUGUUCAACCCGUUUUCAUUCUUUAAAACUAUACAGGUAAUAAUAGUAAUAGACACGUUAAUAUAAUAUGUAUAACAUUAAACAUUAAAAAACAAAAACAAACAAAUAAAACGACCAUACCAAGACAUAUUAUACAAUUAUACUUCACUGCGUUAUUCAAGAGGACUCUUAACACUCGCAAACGCACGUCACAUGCGUUCAGCGGGGACAACUUUGUGCCGUUAGUUUUUAUAUUAUUACAGUGAAUCGACCUAUUGUUAAACUCGAAAACAAAAAUCGCAUUGUCAACGCCAAAGUCGGUGCUGCCAUUCCGAUAUUCUGAUAGGCAAGUGAGAUAAUAUAAGCGUUAUUAUAGAUUAUGACAUUUCACGCAAUCGUAUCUCGCUUGAAAAUUCAAAUAUCGAAAAAAUAAUACUACCGUGUCAUACAGAUAAUGUUUUUGUUGAUCUUCAAGUUUGAUAAAGGAUCGAUUCGUUGUGUGCCGUUAAAACUAACAGCGCAAAGUUGCAGGGCUGCUGAACCCGAUUUCGCGUUUGUAAGACGCGUUUUGCGUCUUAAUGCAAAUAUUUUCACGUACGAAAGAAAAAAAUCAUAAAAAAAAAACCCUACUAUUUGGGGGUGACAAUUAUUGUUAUAUAUAUGUAUUUUUUUUUUUUUUUUUUAACGCGUUUCACUAAACUAUACAAUAAUAUUAUGUAUUCGAUAAUUUUUAGGCGUAUAAAAAUUUAACAUACCUUAAUAUUAUAUUAAUAAUAAUUUAAUUAAGUUUUAUUAAUUUCUUGCAUAUUGUAUCCGUACAAUAUUAUUAUUUGACGGCGAUAUAUUUUUUUUUUUUUUAAACGAUUUUACACAGUAAAUUAUAUUAUUAAUAAAGCCGUACGUACUCGUAUAGGUUACGCUUAUGAUUAUGUACAGCAUUCUACUAUACACAUGCGUAUAUAUUUUCUCGGGUUCAUAUUAUAUUUAAAAACACUAUUACGCGGAAAGUUAGCAACGUGAAUAUUAUAGGACUGUAAAACUUUAACAUUCGAAGCGCGGGGGCGCGCGCGCGCGCGUGUGCGUGUGUGUGUGUGUGUGUGUGUGCGCGCGCGGGUGUGUGUGAUCCUAUAUUACAGUAAACGGGUAUAGGACGGUUUUAGUUUUUAAUGCGUAAAAUGCAAAGACCAAACAAAUUGUAUUAGCUACCGAUAAAUAAUUAAUCUAUAACCGCGGGCGAACGUCCGUAAGUAUAAUAUAGUGUUUUUUUUUUUUUUUUUUUUUUUUUUUCAAAUAUUUCAACCGCUAAUCGUGCCGUGUCUACUGUACAAACAUAUUGUAAUAUUGCCCUGUCGUUUCGAUCGUGGACCCGAUACAAACAUAUUAUAUUUCGGCGUUUGACGUUCGACCUGCAGCAGUGAAAUGCGCUCAGUAUUUUCUUUUGAAACUCUCUCUCUCUCUCUUUCUAUAUAUAUACCUAAUGUAGUACACGGGCGCUGCUCUAUAGGAGAUUUCAAUAUUGCCCGCCGUCAUUUUCGACAAGGCCGGGCGUCGUCGUAACGAGUUAGAAAGUUCAAAGUUAAGUCGAUAUGUUAUUAAAUUCCUUUUUGAUUUUAACGCAAUAUUGAAUACGCAAUUUGUUCCGUCGUAUAAACGUGUAUUGUGUACGUUUUUCUUUUAAUCGAUAGCGGUGCGCGCGAAGUUUGAAAUACACGUAUAGUUCGAUAUUUCCGGAACAAACCCUCCGGGCGCGUUCAAUAUAUAAUAUCGAUAGUCUUUUCUUUUUUUUUUUCAAACCUUAUUCCGAACUCCAAAUCCCAUCGUUUUCUCGGUGACCAUAGUAGUUUUACCGAAAAAAAAAAAAAAAAUUCGUCUCCUCGACGUAAUGUAUUUUAAUAAGUCGAUUACCCAUGUUUUCAAAUCGACUUUUAACUCGAUCAUUAAAUUCGAAAGUAUCAACUUUCAACGUGUGUUAACUCGUUUAUAAUUUUUUUUUUUUUUUUUUUUAACCGUCUCGAACCUAACCGGGUAAAUAUUAUUCAUUAACUUGCCCAGCCUUGACUUCUAUAUGCGUACACGACAUACUGAAAUAUCGAUAAACACCGUAGUUUUUAUCAAUGUCAAAAACACAUCGCACGGGAAAACGUAAAAUAAUAUAAAUUACAAAGUGCCCCCGUGGACUAUAAUACACACUAUAUAGUUAUAUUAUUAUUUAUAAACUAAGUAUCAACUUUCAACGUGUGUUAACUCGUUUAUAAUUUUUUUUUUUUUUUUUUUUUUCAAAAUUAGUAUAAAUAUCGUUUGAAUAAUAUCGUGGACCCGCAGACUCGCCGUGUAAUUCAUCGGAAAUUAUAUUAUCGACGUUUAUUAUAACGUGACGUUACUUGAAGGCCGUGCCGUUGCCCCGUCAAUCCGGGGAGGUGGGUAGGACAAUGUCGGGCACAAGGAGAGUAAUUUUUUAACCCGCGGGGGCGUUAAUCCAACAUCGCGCCACUCGUCCCCCGCAACGGCUACCCGGCUUAAAACAAAAAACCGGUCCGACUUUGCCGGUACUCUGCCGGACUUUGCGUCGUUUUCUUCGUCCCGAUUUUUUUAUUUUUUUUUUUACUGGACCCCGCCGAAUAAUAUUACCACGCUCGACGAACGUUUUUUCUAAAGGUUAAUGCGAAAUAAACGAGCGGCGGGGAAAAAAAAAAAGUAAUACAUCAAAUUUAGUUUCGCCGGCCGACCGUCAUCGACCCCGUAGAAUGUUUAUGCGGUUUCGAAUCUGUUGUUGAGUGUACCACAAUAUUAUACAAUAUAUAUUCAUACGUAGGUAUUUAUCUCGGUUUCCCGUAAAUUUUACGAAAACGCGAAACGUGUACGAGCGUAACGCGUAUGCAGACAACAUAGAUUUUACCGUAAAGUUAUAAUGUACAAUAUGAUAAUAACGCGUGCAUCGCACAUAGCCGUCGGAACUUUUUAAAUUUCAAUUGGAAUAAAAAAAAAAAAAAAACGACAAUAAUACAGUCGGAGGAAUGAAA